GACGAACGCUGGCGGCGUGCCUAAUACAUGCAAGUCGAACGCUUCUUUCCUCCCGAGUGCUUGCACUCAAUUGGAAAGAGGAGUGGCGGACGGGUGAGUAACACGUGGGUAACCUACCCAUCAGAGGGGGAUAACACUUGGAAACAGGUGCUAAUACCGCAUAACAGUUUAUGCCGCAUGGCAUAAGAGUGAAAGGCGCUUUCGGGUGUCGCUGAUGGAUGGACCCGCGGUGCAUUAGCUAGUUGGUGAGGUAACGGCUCACCAAGGCCACGAUGCAUAGCCGACCUGAGAGGGUGAUCGGCCACACUGGGACUGAGACACGGCCCAGACUCCUACGGGAGGCAGCAGUAGGGAAUCUUCGGCAAUGGACGAAAGUCUGACCGAGCAACGCCGCGUGAGUGAAGAAGGUUUUCGGAUCGUAAAACUCUGUUGUUAGAGAAGAACAAGGACGUUAGUAACUGAACGUCCCCUGACGGUAUCUAACCAGAAGGCCACGGCUAACUACGUG
rnacentral:rRNA from 1 species